UACGUAGGGGGCAAGCGUUGUCCGGAUUUACUGGGCGUAAAGGGCGCGUAGGCGGUCAGCACAAGUCAGUUGUGAAAUCUCCGGGCUUAACUCGGAAAGGUCAACUGAUACUGUGCGACUAGAGUGCAGAAGGGGCAACUGGAAUUCUCGGUGUAGCGGUGAAAUGCGUAGAUAUCGAGAGGAACACCUGCGGCGAAGGCGGGUUGCUGGGCUGACACUGACGCUGAUGCGCGAAAGCCAGGGGAGCGAACGGG
rnacentral:rRNA from 1 species